GAUGAACGCUGGCGGCGUGCCUAAUACAUGCAAGUCGAGCGAACAGAUGAGGAGCUUGCUCCUCUGACGUUAGCGGCGGACGGGUGAGUAACACGUGGAUAACCUACCUAUAAGACUGGGAUAACUUCGGGAAACCGGAGCUAAUACCGGAUAAUAUAUUGAACCGCAUGGUUCAAUAGUGAAAGACGGUUUUGCUGUCACUUAUAGAUGGAUCCGCGCCGCAUUAGCUAGUUGGUAAGGUAACGGCUUACCAAGGCAACGAUGCGUAGCCGACCUGAGAGGGGGGAUCGGCCACCCUGGAACUGAGCACCGUCCCAGACUCCAACGGGAGGCAGCAGUAGGGAACCUUCCGAAAUGGGCGAAAGCCUGACGGAGCAACGCCGGUGGGGUGAGGAAGGUCUUCGGAUCGUAAAACUCUUUUAUUAGGGAAGAAAAAAUGUGUAAGUAACUAUGCACGUUUGGACGGUACCUAAUAAGAAAGCCCCGGCGAACUACGU
rnacentral:rRNA from 1 species